rnacentral:rRNA from 1 species
GAUGAACGCUAGCUACAGGCUUAACACAUGCAAGUCGAGGGGAAACGACAUCGAAAGCUUGCUUUUGAUGGGCGUCGACCGGCGCACGGGUGAGUAACGCGUAUCCAACCUGCCCACCACUUGGGGAUAACCUUGCGAAAGUAAGACUAAUACCCAAUGAUAUCUCUAGAAGACAUCUGAAAGAGAUUAAAGAUUUAUCGGUGAUGGAUGGGGAUGCGUCUGAUUAGCUUGUUGGCGGGGUAACGGCCCACCAAGGCAACGAUCAGUAGGGGUUCUGAGAGGAAGGUCCACCAGAUUGGAACUGAGACACGGUCCAAACUCCUACGGGAGGCAGCAGUGAGGAAUAUUAGGCGAGGGAGGAGAGUCUGAACCAGCCAAGUAGCGGGCAGGAAGACGGGGCUAGGAGUUGUAAACUGCUUUUAUAAGGGAAUAAAGUGAGUCUCGUGAGACUUUUUGCAUGUACCUUAUGAAUAAGGACCGGCUAAUUCCGUG